rnacentral:lncRNA from 1 species
GGAACCAGCCUCCCCCAAGAAUCGUGCAUAUAUACACAUCCACACGCCAGCCCAAUGCCACCCACGUGGGACCAUUGAUUUCACUACCUCCAGGCUUUCUCAGUUUGAUGAUUUGGCGGUUCUGGAACUGUUCCGAGAGGAGUCAAGACUCACUCUGCCAGCCCCAGCUGUUCAAAGCUCAGCCCAAUCUGUUCCGUACAGUUGGCUGUAUUAUAACAAUAAUGCAGCUACAGUUCACCUUCAUUUGCUGCAAAGAUCAUUAACUAUCCCUCAGAGAGACGCAGCAUUAAAGAAAGAGCGCCCGAGGCAUAAUAAACGGAGGUCUCUGGGUAGCACAGUUCCCCAAAAGGUAAGAGGAUGCCAGCCAGGCCACCUGACAGUUUCCACAGUCAGAGAGAAGGAGAGAAAACAAGGGCAGGAGGGACGGAAAAUAAGAGAAAAAAGAAAAGCAAGAACGUGCCUGGCAAACAUGUAUGCUCAUGUGAAGAGAAAAUAAAGAGGGGAAAAAAUGUUUGAAAUAAUGACAGCAGGACAUUUAAAGUAAAAUCACAGUGGAGACAUGAUUCUACCUGUCUGGCAGCUCUAACAUUCUAAUACAGAGGGAGAAGGAAAUUUGGAGGGUAGAUUGAGAACAGAACAAGUGACUUACUGUCCUGUACAGAAAGAAUGCAAUAUUCUGGACAAGUUCAGCAAAAGAGAAGAUGGCAAAUUGAGUGUGACCUGUCUUUAAAUUGUGUAUCUGACCUCCUGUGCAUAAAAUGGAAUUAAAGUGUAGAAGGGGGCGUGUUCUGUCAUCUGAUUCAUGCACUGAGUUCCAGUUUUACGGGAGCCACAUUUGAACCUUAUUCACCAAGAAGCCAGCCCUCUGAAAGCGCCCAGAGGUAAGGGCGUCCCCUUCAAAGAAAGUACUGCAUGACGUAUAAAUACCCGGAAGCUCCUUGGUGGAUAAGGAGAGCACCAAAAUCGAUACCUGUUCUAAGCCUCCCCAGUGCAGGGGCCCAACUUCCACUCGACACCACAGAGACACAACGACAGAGGAAUUCAUUCACUACACAAGGUCCUGGGAGCCGGGGACAUGGACUGGAGAAGGGCACGUAUCCUCAGAGAAGAAGGAAAUAUUCCAAAGGCAAUUUUAUUUCAACAGGCUCUUGGAGCAAAAACGUUCUCCUCUUAGGUGAACAGAAUACAGAAUAUGAAGCUGGUAACCUAAUUUAUGAAACUGUCCAUGUGUCACUUAAAAGAAAAACAUAGAUCUCAUUUUGUUACCAUCCAAGCUGCUCCCCAAAUCUAACCCCACAGCUGCUUUUGUGUUGACAGGACCUGUCCUCAAGGGGUGGAGGGGACAGCAGGCUAUUCAUCUCUGGUUUUAAAACAGAGAAAAACGAGGGGCUGGGGGACUGGAUCAUUUCCACUGUAACCAGGUCAACUGAGGAAAUCUUUCCUAGCCAAUGCACUUAGACCCACUGGAAUGUAUUUAAAACCAAAACCCUAUCCCAGAAGGAAAACCUGAAGACAAUAGCAAUAUUCAGGAAUGGACCCUGAAAGUAUUUUCGUGUUUGGGCAAAAUUCUAGAUUUUACUAAAUCCACCCAUGAUGCUAUCAGAGAUCUCAUCCUAAAGGCAGUUAUAUCACAAUUCCUCAAGAUUUCUUUCCGCAGAGUGCUUAUUUCUGAUCAAAGGGGUAAAGCUGAGAAAAAAGAAUGUGUGGAUGGAGCUGGGAGAUGACAAGCAGGAGGCAUGGGGAGGCUCCCGCAAGACCCACAUCCGGAUCCACAGUUCAGUGGUUCACUUUUUAACAUGAUAGAUCAGGCAUGCACUCUUCUACUCGUAAAACUAAAUUUACUUAUUAUCCAACACUGCAGUGUUUAUUAGAUUUAUUGAAUAAAUGAUACAAAUGUAAAUCACAA